rnacentral:piRNA from 1 species
UGUUGUGGUACUGCCAGGUAACGUUGUU